rnacentral:rRNA from 1 species
AGUGAACGCUGGCGGUAGGCCUAACACAUGCAAGUCGAACGGCAGCACAGUAAGAGCUUGCUCUUACGGGUGGCGAGUGGCGGACGGGUGAGGAAUACAUCGGAAUCUACUUUUUCGUGGGGGAUAACGUAGGGAAACUUACGCUAAUACCGCAUACGACCUACGGGUGAAAGCAGGGGAUCUUCGGACCUUGCGCGAUUGAAUGAGCCGAUGUCGGAUUAGCUAGUUGGCGGGGUAAAGGCCCACCAAGGCGACAAUCCGUAGCUGGUCUGAGAGGAUGAUGAGGGACAGGGGAGGAGAGGCAGGGACGGGACACUGAGGGGAGGCAGCGGUGGGGAAUAGUGGAAGAGGGGGGAGGGGGUGAUACGGCAAUAUGGGGGGAGUGAAGAUGGCCUGGGGGUGGGAGAGCCAUUUUGUCGGGAAAGAAAAGAAGCGGGUUAAUACCCCGCGGUUCUGACGGUACGGAAAGAAUAAGCACCGGCUAACUUCGUG